AACGCGAAGAACCUUACCAGGGCUUGACAUCCCUCGAAUGUUGUAGAAAUACAACAGACCUUCGGGACGAGGAGACAGGUGGUGCAUGGUUGUUGUCAGCUCGUGUCGUGAGAUGUUGGGUUAAAUCCCGCAAAGAGCGCAACCCCUUUUUUUAGUUGCCAGCACGUAAAGGUGGGCACUCUAGCGAGACUGCCGGUGAGAAAUCGGAGGAAGGUGGGGAUGACGUCAAAUCAUCAUGCCCUUUAUGUCCUGGGCUACACACGUACUACAAUGGCUACAACAGAGGGCAGCGAAGCCGUAAGGGGGAGCGAAUCCCAGAAAAGUAGUCCCAGUUCGGAUUGUGGGUUGCAACUCGCCCACAUGAAGUCGGAAUCGCUAGUAAUGGCAGAUCAGCA
rnacentral:rRNA from 1 species